rnacentral:rRNA from 1 species
UACGGAGGGGGCAAGCGUUAUCCGGAUUUACUGGGUGUAAAGGGAGCGUAGACGGCAUAGCAAGUCUGAAGUGAAAGCCCAAGGCUCAACCAUGGGACUGCUUUGGAAACUGUUAAGCUAGAGUGCUGGAGAGGUAAGCGGAAUUCCUAGUGUAGCGGUGAAAUGCGUAGAUAUUAGGAAGAACACCAGUGGCGAAGGCGGCUUACUGGACAGUAACUGACGUUGAGGCUCGAAAGCGUGGGGAGCAAACAGG